rnacentral:rRNA from 1 species
UACGGGGGGGGGCAAGCGUUUGUUCGGAAUUACUGGGCGUAAAGGGCUCGUAGGUGGCCAACUAAGUCAGACGUGAAAUCCCUCGGCUUAACCGGGGGAACUGCGUCUGAUACUGGAUGGCUUGAGGUUGGGAGAGGGAUGCGGAAUUCCAGGUGUAGCGGUGAAAUGCGUAGAUAUCUGGAGGAACACCGGUGGCGAAGGCGGCAUCCUGGACCAAUUCUGACGCUGAGGAGCGAAAGCCAGGGGAGCAAACGGG